rnacentral:ncRNA from 1 species
UGUCUUCGGGGCGAGGUGUAAUUCCUCACCGGCGGUAUAGCCCGCUAACAAGCAUUUGCUUGCCGAACCUGUGGAAUUCAGGUGCCGACGGUAUAGUCCGGAUGAAAGAAGAU